UGGCAAGAUGACCGAGUGGUUAAGGUGAUACGUUUAGGCCGUAUUGGCGAUGCCGCGUGGGUUCGAAUCCCACUCUUGUCAU
rnacentral:tRNA from 1 species